UACGUAGGGUGCAAGCAUUAAUCGGAUUUAUUGGGCGUAAAGGGCGCGUAGGCGGAAAUGCCAGUCAGAUGUGAAAUCCCGGGGCUCAACCCCGGAACAGCAUUUGAAACUACAUUUCUAGAGGGUAGGCGGAGAAAACGGAAUUCCACAAGUAGCGGUGAAAUGCGUAGAGAUGCGGCGGAACACCGAUGGCGAAGGCAGCCCCCUGGGCUGAGAUUGACGCUCAGGCACGAAAGCGUGGGGAGCAAACAGA
rnacentral:rRNA from 1 species